UGCAAACACAAGAAAGACUUAAAAAACACAUUUGUUUAAAAAAACAUAUGUCAUCUUCCUAUAUGAGAUAAACUCAUACCUACAUGAUAACAAAUUAAAUGCAAUAAACUCUAUUCUUCUUUCUUAUUUAUCUAUUUAAAUAUUUUUCUAUUUUUCUAUGUGAUUUUUCCUAAUCUUUUCAGUAUAUACAUGCAUAUUAGAACUUUUAAAAUGUACAUGUGUGUACAUACAUACAUACAUACAUACAUACAUACAUACAUACAUCCUUUGGCAUUGCUUUUGAAAACUUCUUGUGUAAACCUAUUUAACAAGUAAAGCAAAUUCUUCAAAAGAGAACAAUUUUCAGUCACAGAAAUGGAUUCUCAUCACCCAAACUACACAAGAUGACGACACAACAUGUGACACCACAAUAGAACAGAUCGGGCAACGCUGAAAGAAAUCCAACCCAGAGGGCGGAAAGCACAAGCCCACACCACGAAGGCACCCAAAUCA
rnacentral:lncRNA from 1 species